GUCCAAGGUGAUUCCCUCUCCAAGGGGCCACCUAAUGCCCCUCUCAGGAAAGUAGCAAUGUGGAAUAAAAUCUGGCAAGCCCAAGGUUUUCCGAUAGAGAGGGCAUGUUUUUCCUUUUGCCUUCCUUUGGCUGCCUACAUAC
rnacentral:snoRNA from 1 species